rnacentral:rRNA from 1 species
GAUGAACGCUGGCGGCGUGCCUAAUACAUGCAAGUCGAGCGAACAUACGAGAAGCUUGCUCCUCUGACGUUAGCGGCGGACGGGUGAGUAACACGUGGAUAACCUACCUGUAAGACUGGGAUAACGUCGGGAAACCGGGGCUAAUACCGGAUAAUAUUUUGAACGGCAGGGGUAAAUAGUGAAAGACGGUUUUGCUGUCACUUAUAGAUGGAUCCGCGCCGCAUUAGCUAGUUGGUAAGGUAACGGCUUACCAAGGCAACGAUGCGUAGCCGACCUGAGAGGGUGAUGGGCAAAAUUGGAACUGAGAAACGGUCAAGCCUCCAACGGGAGGAAGAAGAAGGGAAUCUUCGGCAAUGGGCGAAGGCUUGACGGAGAAAGGCCGCGUGAGUGAGGAAGCUUUUCGGAUCGAAAAACUCUGUUCUUAGGGAGGAAAAAAUCUGUAAGUACAGAUGGACGUCUUGACGGUACCCAGCCAGAAAGCCACGGCUAACUACGUG